rnacentral:rRNA from 1 species
UACGGGGGGGGCAAGCGUUGUUCGGAAUUACUGGGCGUAAAGGGCUCGUAGGCGGCCAACUAAGUCGGACGUGAAAUCCCUCGGCUCAACCGGGGAACUGCAUCCGAUACUGGAUGGCUCGAGUCCGGGAGAGGGAUGCGGAAUUCCAGGUGUAGCGGUGAAAUGCGUAGAUAUCUGGAGGAACACCGGUGGCGAAGGCGGCAUCCUGGACCGGCACUGACGCUGAGGAGCGAAAGCCAGGGGAGCAAACGGG